rnacentral:rRNA from 1 species
UACGUAGGGUGCGAGCGUUAAUCGGAAUUACUGGGCGUAAAGUGUGCGCAGGUGGCCGCGCAAGUCGAGUGUGAAAUCCCCGAGCUUAACUUGGGAAUUGCGCCCGAAACUACGUGGCUCGAGUGUGGCAGAGGAAGGUGGAAUUCCACGUGUAGCGGUGAAAUGCGUAGAGAUGUGGAGGAACACCGAUGGCGAAGGCAGCCUCCUGGGCCAGCACUGACGCUCAUGCACGAAAGCGUGGGGAGCAAACAGG